rnacentral:sRNA from 1 species
GCUGCGAAGCGGAUGUCGUUCCAGUAUGCGGUGUCUUGCAGAGCCCAACGGGGGUUACGUGGGAACCACAAACUGGAUAGCCUGAAAGAGCGAAAGAAAACACG